GACGAACGCUGGCGGCGUGCUUAACACAUGCAAGUCGAACGGAAAGGCCCUGCUUUUGUGGGGUGCUCGAGUGGCGAACGGGUGAGUAACACGUGAGUAACCUGCCCUUGACUUUGGGAUAACUUCAGGAAACUGGGGCUAAUACCGGAUAGGAGCUCCUGCUGCAUGGUGGGGGUUGGAAAGUUUCGGCGGUUGGGGAUGGACUCGCGGCUUAUCAGCUUGUUGGUGGGGUAGUGGCUUACCAAGGCUUUGACGGGUAGCCGGCCUGAGAGGGUGACCGGGCACAAUGGGACUGAGAUACGGCCCAGACUCCUACCGGAGGCAGUGGUGGGGAAUAUUGCACAGUGGGCGGAAGCCUGAUGCAGCAACGCCGCGUGCGGGAUGACGGCCUUCGGGUUGUGAACCGCUUUCGCCUGUGACGAAGCGUGAGUGACGGUAAUGGGUAAAGAAGCACCGGCUAACUACGUG
rnacentral:rRNA from 1 species